rnacentral:lncRNA from 13 species
UGACAGUGUAGCUUUAGGCAGAUCACUCCGAGCUUGGUUUUCAUAUCAUGAGAAAAAGGGAACUGGGAUUGUCUUUUCAGGGCAGAGUUUCUGUUUGUGCAUAUUUGCCAAAGUGGAGGUACAAAUUAUAGCACGGUGGAUGCUUGCGCCGGAAUGCCUGGGCUGGAAUUCUGGCUCUUCUGCUUAUCAACUGUGUAACUCCGGUCAAGAUGAGAAAAUAUGCUUGAAAGACGUGAAAUGACCUUGUCAGCAUCACCCACCUAGAAAAGGCCACGUUGGAAUUCAAACUCAAGCUGUUUCACUCCAAACAUCACACCA